UUUGUAACUUUGCACAUGACUUCACAUCCGAAACCCCAUCCCAUUACUCCUCCCCCAAAAGUGAGCUGUGCUGAACUGGGUUAUACUAUGCAGUGGAAAAGCGCCAAAAGUGUCCUACUUCGUGGCUUGAAGGAUUUAGCAGUUUCAGCGUUGGACUUGUAAUUCUGCGUGUUUGGCUUCUUUAGCACUUGCUGUUUGAAAGUCAUUGCUUGCAACAGAUUGAGCGACUGUCAUUCUACAUUUCUGUUUGCAUUGCUUUGCUUGCAUUUUGAAUCCUUCGCAAUAAUAACUAUGCAAAAAGUUUUACAUUUGAACUGUAGUUGUAGAUUUAAAUUUGUUUUUCCUUGAUAUAAUGUAUUUAUAUAGAUUUUUACAAUUAUUUAUCAUGCAGUGCUUCAUAUAUGAGAAAGACAACGCUUGAAGAACCACACAACACUCAUAUUAAUGUAUGUGUCAUAUUAAUAAAAAUAAACAAGUCUUUGCACUUCAUUUAUAUUUAAUUGAGUGAUAUGUAACUUCACAAUGGUGGAUUCUUUAACUAUUACAUGAAUAUGUGCAUUGUGAUUUCGAUUUAUUGACCAUAGUUAUGUGUUAGGAAUAGUGGAGAAAAUCAUUUACUAAAAAAGACAAAGGUGCCAGAUCUUUCAUUUACUUUAAAUGCAAUAAAAUUAUAGAACAAUUGUAAGCAGCUUUAAUGGAAUCUAUGUAAUAUAGUCAGUAAAGCAUACUAAGUAGUUUAUAAAUUAAGAAAUUCUUAAUAUUAGAUACUAUAAAUUACGAUUUUCAUUAGUAAAGCCAUAGCAAAAACAGCAUUUUUACUUUGAUGUUGCAUAAAAGGGUAACUCUUAUGGUUAAAUGUGUAUGGGUUUAUAUUAAAGCUUCGAGUGGUUUCACGUCCCCGGAAGGUCCGCCAGCGAACGUUACAAUGCGGACCAAUUGAGGACCUUAUGCGGACCUAAGAGGACGUUCGCGACGUCCGGGGGACGUCCCCUGUUUGCU